CCUACGGGAGGCAGCAGUGGGGAAUAUUGCACAAUGGGGGAAACCCUGAUGCAGCGACGCCGCGUGAGUGAAGAAGUAUCUCGGUACGUAAAGCUCUAUCAGCAGGGAAGAAAAUGACGGUACCUGACUAAGAAGCCCCUGCUAACUACGUGCCAGCAGCCGCGGUAAUUCGUAGGGGGCAAGCGUUAUCCGGAUUUACUGGGUUUAAAGGGAGCGUAGACGGCAGCACAAGUCUGGAGUGAAAUCCCGGGGCUUAACCCCGGAACUGCUUUGGAAACUGUGCGGCUGGAGUGCAGGAGGGGUAAGCGGAAUUCCUGGUGUAGCGGUGAAAUGCGUAGAUAUUAGGAAGAACACCGGUGGCGAAGGCGGCUUACUGGACUGUUACUGACGUUGAGGCUCGAAGGCGUGGGGAGCAAACAGGAUUAGAUACCCUGGUAGUC
rnacentral:rRNA from 1 species